UUAGAUGGCUAUGUUGACUUAACUACAGCAGAUUAUUGGGAAAGUCUACAGAAGAAAACAAGGGAAUGGUCUUAAGUGUGACACAUGUGAAAACCAGGAUGGUGCCUCCUGCUCUGGAAAGCUCGAAACGUGUGAUAAAUCUGUCGAAAGCUGCUUUAGUUCCAUAAUUGUUACAAUUGACAGUACCCAAACCACUAUACAAAGCAAAAAGUCUUGUGCAGCCAGCCCCGAUUUUUGUCAUACUACUUAUAACAUGACAUUUGGA